UACGAGGGGGGCGAGCGUUGUUCGGAAUUAUUGGGCGUAAAGGGUGCGCAGGCGGUUUGUUAAGUCUGCUGUGAAAUCCCCGAGCUCAACUUGGGAAUUGCAGUGGAUACUGGCAGGCUGGAGUAUGGUAGAGGAAGGUGGAAUUCCCGGUGUAGCAGUGAAAUGCGUAGAGAUCGGGAGGAACACCAGUGGCGAAGGCGGCCUUCUGGACCAAUACUGACGCUCAUGCACGAAAGCGUGGGGAGCAAACAGG
rnacentral:rRNA from 1 species